rnacentral:rRNA from 1 species
CAGCUUGUUGGUGAGGUAAUGGCUCACCAAGGCGACGACGGGUAGCCGGCCUGAGAGGGUGACCGGCCACACUGGGACUGAGACACGGCCCAGACUCCUACGGGAGGCAGCAGUGGGGAAUAUUGCACAAUGGGCGAAAGCCUGAUGCAGCGACGCCGCGUGAGGGAUGACGGCCUUCGGGUUGUAAACCUCUUUCAGCAGGGAAGAAGCCACAAGUGACGGUACCUGCAGAAGAAGCGCCGGCUAACUACGUGCCAGCAGCCGCGGUAAUACGUAGGGCGCAAGCGUUGUCCGGAAUUAUUGGGCGUAAAGAGCUCGUAGGCGGUUUGUCGCGUCUGCUGUGAAAGCCCGGGGCUUAACCCCGGGUGUGCAGUGGGUACGGGCAGACUAGAGUGCAGUAGGGGAGACUGGAAUUCCUGGUGUAGCGGUGGAAUGCGCAGAUAUCAGGAGGAACACCGAUGGCGAAGGCAGGUCUCUGGGCUGUUACUGACGCUGAGGAGCGAAAGCAUGGGGAGCGAACAGGAUUAGAUACCCUGGUAGUCCAUGCCGU